GCCCUUCUCACUGCAGGUAGUGGCUUCUGGGAGGUUCUCCGGGUGCCUGCCUCAGCCGCGGCGGCUGUCGUGUAAGGAGUGUGCCGCCCGCCCUCCCAGAGGCUGUCGGAGACCUUCCCGCCUUGUCCGACCCCUGACCCCGCACAGGCUGCACACGUUCUGUCCCCCGAGGCGGCUGCCACGAACAAAGGCCGCCUUAGGCCCUUGCGUCCUGUGGGCCAGGCCCUAGAGAGUCUGCGAACACAUUCUUGGAACCACCACCUGGAUGAAGAAAUGGAACCUUACCGUGCUUCCUACCUCCUACUGACUCCCACCGAACGUCCCCCAAAGAGAGCAUGCAUGGGAAGGGGAGUGAGAGGGGGGAAAGCGAGUGGAUCCCAAGCUGACUCCGCACUGUCAGCACAGAGUCUGAUGCGAGGCUUGAACUCAUGAACCGUGAGAUCAUGGCCUGAGCUGAAAUCAAGAGUCAGACGCUUCACCGACUAGAAGCCACUCAGGUGCCCCAAAGAGUUCAGUAUUUUACCACUACAUAUGGCACUUGCCGUGGCAUUACUGGUAGAUAGUUGGAUCAAAACAUGAAAAUUCUCCUCUAGUUUUAGUUUGCUCUGAUUUUUUAACAAUCAUCAAAGAAAUAGUAAUACUAAAUUUUCUGAAAUGUGUUUUGUGCAAAUUUGGGGACAAGUGAUUUGUCUCAAUGUUGUGGUUUAACUUAAAACAACUUUUGCCCUUCUAGAAUAAAUCAAACCUGAUGUCUAUGCAUUCUCUCUUUCCUGGAUUCCUUUUGUAAAUAGUGUGCUUUGGAUCCUUGCAUGUGUAUUCAAGAGAGAGGUGGGUGUUCCCGUGCACCCUCUUGUGCUGUCCUUGCUGGGGUUUGGGUUACAGGUCGUGCUGGCCUCCUGAAACAACAUAGGAAGAAGCACUCCGUGUGCUUUCCCGGAAGAGUUUUUGUGUGUGUUCUUUUCUUUUGGGAAGAAGUGCUAGGCCAACAGCCGGUGUAGGGUUUUCCUUGUGAGCAGGGUUUUCAUUGCAGAUUCCUUUCUUAAGUGGAAAUAGGAUUUUGCUGAUUUCCCAUAUCUUCUUGUGUCUAUUUAGAUGACGCAUUUUGUUUUCUAGGAAUUUGCUCUGACCUCCCAAACUUUCCAAGGAAUAAGUGUCAACUGGUUUCUAAUAUCCCUCCUAUCUGCAGCAUCUGGUGUGAUACUUGCUUUAGAACUUCUUGAUAUUGGUACUUUGUGCUUUGUUUCUUUUUCAUAGAACCAACUUGGGCUUUUUUGAUUUCCGUCAUUUACUGUUUGUUUCCUGCAGCACUGAUUUCUGCCCUUUUGUUUUCCAUCUACUUGGUGAUUGUUUGCUGUCCCAUCUUGUAGUUCUUGAACUAAAUCCUUCAUUUGAUUUUUAGCCUUUGUUCCUUUCCAGUAUGUGUAUUGUAUUUAUUUGCUUAUUAGUGUGUUGAUUCAUUUUAGAAUGAGAGCAUGAGCAGGGCAGAGGGUCAGACGGAGGGAGAGAGAGAGAGAGAGAGAGAGAGAGAGAGAGAGAGAGAAUCUCGAGCAGGCUCCUCACUCAGUGUGGAGCCAGGCUGGGGAUCGAUCUUGUGGCUGUGGGAUCAUACCUUGGGCCAAAAUCAAGAGUUGGUCACCAAGCAACUGAGCUAUCCUAUGAUAUAUGUAUUCUAAAGCUAUGAGUCUCCCUUUAAGCACACCUUUACUGAUCUCACAAGUUUUCAUAAGCCAAAUGUUUAUUAUCUUUUAUGUGAAACUAUUUCCUAACUUUCAUUGUGGCAUCUUUUUCUUAAUUCAUCACAAUGUUUAGGAGCAUAACACAUCUUGAUGUUUCGGGGGAUUUUCUCAUUCUCUUUGCGAGGAUUUCUAGCUUAAUUCCGUGAAGGUAUGUGUCUCAGUGUUUUGGGGUGGUUGUAACAAAAUACUAUAGACUGGCUGCCUAAUAAGAAACAGAAACUUCUUUCCUACAGUUGAGGAGACUGGGAAGUUCUCAAGAUCAAGGCAUCUGCAGAUUCAGGGUCAGGUGAGAGUCAGCUUCCUGGUUUAUCAACAGCCUGCUUCUCCCUGUCCUCCUGUGGUGGCAGGGGUGACGGUGCUCUCUCAGUCGCCCAGGACUGGUCAUCGCCGGAAGUCUCCCUGUCUUCAUCCCAUCACUGUGGGCGUGAUGAAUUGUUGGGGGAAUUGAACUGUGAAUCGAAUGCAAUCCCUAAAUAUGCCCUGCAGUAUUUCAGUCCUUUGAGAUGAGCUGACUUUCCUAAUGGCCUGGCAUAUAUUCCUUUUCAUGAACUGUUCCUCGGGCACGUGAAAAUAAUGUGUAUUGGGGGAAUGCAGUAGUCUCUAUUUAUAGGUUAGAUGAAGUUUGUUAAUGACAGAAUUCAGAUUUUAGUAACCACUUGAAACCAAGUAAGGAAUAGGCGAGAAUGAGUUUACUAAUAUAACUAACAGGCAUAUCCAAAAUAUCAUUUCAGUGUAUAGCCGGCGUGAGAAAAAAUUAUGAAUGAUUUUGCAUUCUCUUUUAUCACGUUGUCUUUAAAAUGUGGUGUGCGUUUUAUACUUUCCACACGUCGCACUUUGAGGAGCCGCGUUUCAAGUACUUGCAAUAGAGCACGUGACCGCGUAUUGGACAGCCCCGUCCCACUGCCUUGAGUUUUCUGUUGUCGUCAGUUCUGUCAGAUACUGAGAGAUGUAUCGUCAAGUCUCCCAUCAUGCUUAUGGAUAUGGCUCUUUUUCCUUUUCUAUGUUUGUCAAUUUUUCUGUAUUUUGAGAUUGCAUGAUUAGGUAUAUGCAAGUUUAGAAGUCUUGUUCUCUUGGUAGAUGGAACUUCCAUUGCGAAAUGUUCCUCUUGGUCUCCUCUAGUAGAGCUUUUUGCUAUAGAGGUUACUUUCUUGGAGGGUCCCAGUGGCCACAUCAGUUUUCUGUUCGGUAGGGUUCGCCUAGGGAUCUUUUCCUUCCACCUGUCUGUGAUCUUACGUUUUAAGGUGUACCUUUGUGACCAGCGUAUGCUUAGUUUCCUUCUAAUGAAUUUGAGAGUCAACCUUUUGCUUGCAGCAUUUGUGCACAUGUAAUGACUGAUAGGUUAGUUUACACGUACCGUAUUAUUAGUUUCUUCUUUGUCCCAGCUGUUCUGUGUUCUUUUGGUCUCUAGCCUUCCUUUAGAAGUAGGAGGGAGUUUUUAAUUGUACACUGAUCUGUUAGGUAAUUGGAAUAUAUCUAUUUCUAGAGGCAGGUGCAUUUUCAACUGACCCCUGCCCGAUUCAGGACUUGUACUGCUUCCCUGACACUGCUCUCUCCUUUUAUCUUUUCUUUGUUUUAAGAUUUAUUUGUUUUUUGAGAGAGACAUAAUACAAUCGGGUGAGGGGCAGAGCAGAAAGGGAGACACAGAAUCUGAAGCAGGCUCCAGGCUCUGAGUCAUCAGCACAGAGUCUGACGCGGGUCUCCAACUCACAAACCGUGAGAUCGUGACCUGAGCCAAAGUCGGACACUCAACUGACUGAGCUACCCAGGCGCCCCUGCUCUUUUCUUUGACACUUGAACCACACUGAACUCCUCUUCACCUUUUGUUGGCUAAUAUUUUUAAGUUUUAGAUGGAUUUUGGCGUUGUUGUCAUUGUUUCGUGCACUUAACGCUUAUUAAGGUUUGUUCUCAUAGUUACCCUUUCUGUUGUGACCUUGUUCUGCAAGCCUUGUUUUUUCAUAUUUCUUUCAGAGACUACAUUUCUUUUCUGCAACAAGCUGCUUUAAUAUUGAUUUUAGUUGGUGACUGUAGUUGAUGUGUAGCCAUGGUUUGUGUGUGUGUGUGUGUGUUGUUGUUUUUGUUUGUUGUUUCUGUUUUUAUUUUUGUUUUUGCUUCUGUUUUGCCUGAAAAAGAUCUUUACCUUGCCUUCACAGUGAAGAAUGUUUCUGUUAGGUAAAGACUUCCAGGUUGGUGGCUAUUUUAUUUAUUUUCUUUUUUAAUUUUUUUUUUCAACGUUUUAUUUAUUUUUGGGACAGACAGAGACAGAGCAUGAACGGGGGAGGGGCAGAGAGAGAGGGAGACACAGAA